rnacentral:tRNA from 1 species
GGGAUUGUGGCUCAGUGAUAGAGCACUUGCCUUGCACGCAUGAGACCCUGGAUUCGAUUCUGAGCACCA